rnacentral:rRNA from 1 species
AUUGAACGCUGGCGGCAGGCUUAACACAUGCAAGUCGAACGAGUGGCGGACGGGUGAGUAAUGCCUGGGAAUCUAGCUUAUGGAGGGGGAUAACUACGGGAAACUGUAGCUAAUACCGCGUACCAUCGGUUGAGCCCAUGUGGGAUUAGGUAGUUGGUGAGGUAAAGGCUCACCAGGCCGACGAUCUCUAGCUGGUCUGAGAGGAUGACCAGCCACACUGGGACUGAGACACGGACCAGAGUCCUACGGUAGGCAGCAGUGGGGAAUAUUGCGCAAUGGGGGCAACCUGACGCAGCGAUGCCGCGUGAAUGAAGAAGGCCUUCGGGUUGUAAAGUUCUUUCGGUAGCGAGGCGUUAACUACAGAAGAAGCACCGGCUAACUCCGUGCCAGCAGCCGCGGUAAUAC